UCGUCAGGCUCAGUCCCCUCCCGAUAAACCUCUAAAUAGGGAACUUCCCGGGGGGCGACUGUGACUU
rfam:Oryctolagus cuniculus chromosome 6, whole genome shotgun sequence.